rnacentral:pre_miRNA from 1 species
AAAGCAAUUGCUGAAUCAUAUGGUAAGCAUGUAUUUAGUUUUAUAAGAAACUGCCAAACUGUCUUCCAAAAUGGCUGUAUCAUUUUACAUUUCCAUCAACAAU